rnacentral:rRNA from 1 species
UACGAACUGUGUGAACGUUAUUCGGAAUCACUGGGCUUACAGGGUGCGUAGGCGGCUUAGCAAGUCAGGUGUGAAAUCCCCAGGCUCAACCUGGGAACUGCGUCUGAUACUGGAUGGCUUGAAUCCAGGAGAGGGAUGCAGAAUUCCAGGUGUAGCGGUGAAAUGCGUAGAUAUCUGGAGGAAUACCGGUGGCGAAGGCGGCAUCCUGGACCGGCAUUGACGCUGAGGAGCGAAAGCCAGGGGAGCAAACGGG